UAUGAUCGAACCCUGCUUGUAGCUG
rnacentral:piRNA from 1 species